CUUGUUUACCGAGCGCCGGGCGGGGGCGGGAGCGCAGUAGCUGAGGCGGUCACCUGCCGAUCCCUCACCUCGGGCUCGGCCGCGGGGCCCUUAAUCCCCGCAGGGGGCAGAGCUCCUGAGGGUCGUUCCGCCCUGGCGUCCUUGGGUUCUGUUUCGGCUUCAGACCUUCAAACACCUGGCGCCUGGGCAAUGCCAAGAGUGACUCUCUGGAAGAGCCUGAGCCUCCGCGUACUCUGUCAGAGCCCCAGGGCAGUUCAAAAGAAUAUCCAAACAGUAAACAAGUGGAACUUCGGUGUUCGCGCCACUCCAGGACAAGGGGCCUCCUAUUUGAACCUUCUGGCGUUUUGCGGCAGCGGUGGCCAUCCUUGCUUUCUGUUUUCUCGUCUGUGUAACGGGGAGCGAGGUCCCUAUGUGAUGCACUGCUGUGAUGGGCUCCAAUUCUAGGCAUUGUGAGCAGCCUCCCCACGCCAUCCUGGUACCCUGGUUGUUUUUUUUUUUUUUUUAAAUCCCCAUAAGCCUUCCUUGGGAGGGGGGAAUAGCCUUUCCCAAGGGCCCUUCCUAGUUUUGUGGGCAUGGAGAAUUUGCUCUUGAUGGGGGAAAGUUAUCACCUCAGAGGACGAAGGACAGACUGCCUAGGGACUGGGUCACUGGGGCCAGCCUGGGAGAGCCAGGUUGCUGGCAUCCACAGCGCUCACCCUAGCUGAGCUCUGAAGGCCACAGACAGGUCUCUUACCCCCAGGGAAGAGUGAGGACAAGCCAGUGUGUGUGGCUGAAUGACAGUGGAUCUGGUUGGAGCCCAAGUUUGGGACAGUGCUCAUAGGCCCCAGCAGCUGUGACCCAUGCCCACUGCCAGUGUUUUCUCAUCCAGAGGCUUAAUUCCCUGGGGAGGGAGGCAGGCAGGCUGAGGACAGAUGAAGGAGCUGAGGCUUAGAGCAGGGGAGUUCCAGGUCACCAAAGGAGCUGGUGACAGCUGCAACUAUGGCCCAAACCCUCAGUUAGGGAGAAGCAAUUGCUUCCAGGCCAGCCAGGGCAAGGCAAGUUCUUGAGCAGGGGGCUGCUGCAGAGCAGAUGAAGCACUGGAGACUAUUGGUGUUGGAGGCAGGGUUUCCAGUCCUGCCUUCUGGUUCCCAGCCCUUUGACUUUGGGUAUGUUAUCUUCCCUCUGUGGGAAAAUGGGGAUAGGUCCCAGAUCUGCCAUGACUUUUAGAAGGUACUUUGUGAAUGACCUUUACCUACUUGAGUGCAUGACAUGUUCAUAUACCGGUGUUGGGGUCAGGGGAAACCUCUUCCAGGGACUUCUCCCUCCCCUGUAUUCCCUGGCUCAGAGAGAGGCCCCAUACCCUUGCUCCCCUCAACCCUGCUAGCAUGUCUGGGUGGCCCCUGAGCUUGGUAAAUAUUUGUCUCUGCCCUAGUUGGGGGCUGCUGAAAUGUUCUGUCCUGUGGCUCAUUCAGCUAGGCUUCUACCUUAGGCUGUGAAGAUUCUGGAAGAAAGCAAAUGUGCAAGGUCAGGUCUUCUGGGAUCUCUCCAGCUCUCUUGUCUACUUGUCCUGAUCCUCUUGUCCCCAUUUACUCCUGAAGCUCAGAAGCUUGUGUUAGAUCUAUGCAGGAAGAGGGGAUACAUGCCUCUAAUGAGCUCUCCCUCUUGAGGUGGAAGAGCUGGGACUUUGGGUCCAAAUGUCAGCUGAGUAGGCCAUGGGAGUGAGUCCCACAGCUUCUGUAAGCUUGCUUCUUCACCCCUGAAAAGAUGGUGGAAUGGUUGGGAUCAGUGCCUGGUACCUCCUUCUUCUUUCCACUGCUGUGCAGUGACCCCCAGAUGUUUGGGCCUGUUCAAUUUAACCAAUAAAAACAAGGGUAAGGAUGUCUCCAAUAUUUAUUGAGUGCUCUGUGCAAUGGUGGAGUGGUAAAUGUUUAACAAUCAACUCUACAAAAAGAUUUCUGUUGUGUAGCUUUUGCCCAAUUUCUGUGCUGUCAGUACUCUCACCAUGCCCAUUUCAAGCUACCAAUCAACAUGAUAUCAUUGAAUGUGCAGUUGGGAGCCAACAAAUGUUGGUCAACUGCAGCAUAAUACUGCAUGCAGGAUUGGCUAUCUAAUUUGUAAACUCCAGUACAGAAUGAAAUUGUAGACUUCCUUGUUCAAAAAGCAAGAUACAUUUUUUUGCUGUAUUUCAUGAUCUCUCUCACUACAUGCUCCUUCUUUUUAAAAAUUUGCUAUUUAAUAUAUCCAAUAUCAUUCCUGC
rnacentral:lncRNA from 1 species